CUGUAUGUCAAUGAUGUAUUCCCGUUGGAACUGAAUCAAAGUGAUCUAAUUCAAAUAUUGCUCACUACCACUGAGACUAAAAGCAA
rnacentral:snoRNA from 1 species